UCUCCUUCUGUCCCCUCCCUGCUCUCUUCCAGGUAGUGCCCUCGGGCGAGUAGGUUCCAAACGACGCCGGCCUCAGCGGCCGGAGCUCUACGGGCCGCCGCUCCCGUUCUUAGGUCCCAGCGGUGCGCGUCUCCUCGUCCAAGGAAGGAUGGGGGGCUGGGGGAGGAGGGGUCGGGGGGCGGCGGCAUGGUUUAGGCCGGGCGUCGACACACGGCUCCAGUUUAGGGAGGCAAAUAUUGGAGUCUAAGCGGAGAUCGAAAGUGCUUAAAACACCAAUGCCACUGAUAGUACAUGACUCUCCAAACUUAGCGUUGUCUCUAAACGGUUUUAUCGUCCUACGGGUCCCCUAAUAAGGACACAAGACGCACCCCCGUGCCAACACACAAUCCGUGGUUUUAGUGGUAACAAUUAGGUGUACAAGUAAAAGCAGAUAUCCUCUAAAUCUAAAAAAAAAAGAACAAGUUUAGUCCGUAUCCAUCUACGCGGAUGAUACAUCGGUUAGCUACACCCAUAAAAAACCAAAAAGUCAAAACUAAGACACCCAUGUCUCGUAAGCUUUCAGUACGUCCUGUGUGUGAAACGACGUAUACACACAAGUUGUCGAACCCUUUGAGUCAUUGAAAAAAGAGAGUGAGGUACCCUACAUGUCUCAGUCUAUUUGUCAGGAAAAACCUUGAUAUUAGUUCAACCCCGCCAGAAGGAGAACUGUUUUAUUCUCUCUAUUAAACACCAUCAAGUUGUUUCAAACAAACAACAAGCAGUCAUAAACGCGGGUCAAAAAUAGGCAACUUACAAGUACUGAUGUCCCCUACACGUGUUUUAGAAGUCGUCAUCAAUAACAAACAAAGACAUAAAAACAUGGGAUUAGUAGUAAAAAGGAUACGUUUUCCUAUCUCACUUUAUGUGGGUGUCAUGGACAUGAGAGGCAUAUUUUAGUGAAACUUGUGACAUGAGACCGUUGACGUUUAAUGCCAGUAAUACGAUUGCAACGAACGAGUGGUAUGCCAGUGAACGCGGGCUUUGCAUGCAUAAACGUGUCGACCGUACGCUAAAAACGUCAAUGUGGGAGGGGAUAGGGAGAAGGGGAGAAGGGGAGGGGGAGGGUGGUAGUUUAGGGAUCGAGCAAGUCAGCAAGGGGUAAGUUGUAGCCGGCGCACCGAAGUAAGGUGAAGACGUGUCUCUCUUCUCUCCUUUCCCCCUCGCCUCUCUCGGGUCCGCUAGCGACAGCGCAACGAACAUGCGAUCCCAAAGGGCAGCGCCGCCGAUGGUACUGGCCGCCUCCACCAAGCAGCCGGCCUCGUUUUCUGCGGGAGCUGAGCGACCUACAACCUCCUUCGUCGUCGCUCGGUUUCGGGAAGGAGGUAGCUGGACUAGUACGCGCCUGCGGCCGUAUGCUCCUUAUGUUAAUACUAAUAGGCACGUCAGAUCCGUAUUUAGUACCACCAAAGAAACAACCGGUUCCAUCGAUGUCCUCAAUGACGUUACCUUUUUGACGAACCAUACUAAUACACGGCAGACGCUGUGACUGGUACAGACUUAACCUUUCCUAUCAACUUCUAGAUCCGAUACUCUACCGUCCAUCUAACCUACAUAUAACCACAAACGGUCCCAACGUUUAAUUCUGACCACCAGAAUCCUUUUACUUAAGGGUCCUUCGAACACUGUUAUAAUCACGAACACAUCAAAAACCUGUAUUUCUUUAAGUCAAUAAGGAACUGGUACUACUCUCGAUGUCCUCAUAGCUUACCCUACUACAACACCAGAAAGGACAGUUACUAAAUGGAGUACACUAGUCAGGAUCCUUUCAUUUUCUCCUCUUUAAACGUCUCUCUUACAGACUUGUUUUAUACCGUCUCCUCGUUCCACUACUGUUACGUCUCCUCCGACCCGUCUUGUACCUUCUCCCCGUUCCACUACUCGUUAAGUUACUCCUUCUUUAACUCAUCAUAUACCGUCUACGACUCCUUCUCCUACUCCAACUACACCUUCUCCUUGUCCUCCUUCUACAACACCUUCUCCUUGUACUACUUAUACGUGUCAGUCUACAUCUACUACCGUCAGAAAGAGUACGACCUUCUCCUCAAUCACUAAGUCUUUUACCCCUACUUUAACACCUGUCACUAAUACGAUAUAGACUACCUCUACAUCUAGAAGAUCUUCUAGUUUAUCUUCUCCACCAUUAUCUACAUUUUCCUUUCUUUCGACGUCUAUAACCUCGAAGAAGACUACUCCUUCUAGAAGUCUACGGUCUAAGACUACUCCUACUCGACUUCGUGUUGAAGUUAUGUAAGUCCGGUCUUCUAUACGUACUAGGAUACAAGUUUCAACCUGUCAAUAAGGUCAGUGGUCUCUACAAUUCCUUUCGGUAAUCCCUUAUAAAUUUAACAAUCACUCGAGUAUACACAUCAAUACGUUACGUCCAUGUAAAAUCUUCGUUCUCUCAACGGUUAGGAGAGAUACUAUCUGUCCUAAUUCCGUGUUGAUUGAUGAUCCUACCAAUGUUUUUUACUUCUCUACAACUCGACCUGUAGAGGUUAAACGGGUUUCUAAUUCUUUUCUGAUCUGUUCUUGUGUCUUAAUCGAUUGUGUACAAUACGACUUAAUCGACCUCUACCGUAUAUAAGAUACCUCCUGUCUCCCAUGUGUAUGUAACAACUCUAUUUACACCUCUCGACGUCGACAUCUUCCACCUUAAACUGUCCUUAUGGUACGGGAGUGAGUUAUCGUACGACGUCUUCUCUUUCUUUUAGUGGUUAACUCGAUCACGUGUUCACAAUGAGGUAACUUAGAAUGGUGUUCCGUAUGAGAGUAGAAUAACACGGAACGUCUCUAUCUUCUCUCGCCUGUUUCUACUUACCUACAGGAUAACGUGGUGGAGAAAUACACUUCUUCCAACCUUUAGGACCAGUAUUAUCCUCCUCCCGAGGACUUCUUCAACGUCUACCCUCUCCACCUUGGUCUUACUGUUCCGUACCACAUCAAUAGGUGACACCCGUGAUGUUUGAUGGACCUGUGUUAUCCUCAAGUACAAGACUAGAAUUUCGACCGUAUGGGGGUAUACAAGGACGGGGUUUCGUUGUACAGUCCUCUUCCUCUUCCCGUCUUGGUUGAUGACUUCUUCUAGUUCUCCGUCUUGGUUUACAAGUUCUUGUCGUUCUCCUUCGUGGUUUACAAGUUCUAGUCGUUCUCCGUGUUGUAUGUGUCCUACUCGUACAGUAUUGAGUCCUAUAGUUACUGGUUUAAGGAGAUAGAUAACACAUAUGAGUACUAUACGAGUUACUUUACUAAAAGGUCUCUGGAUACGGUUUCUGUUGAUGAUGAGGAUCCGGAAACGGUCUGACAAGAAAAUAAUGACGACGAUCUCUUCGGGAACCGUGUCCCUGUUGUUCGUGGAGUUGUUGUCGUCCUAUGGAACGAUGCUUCCGACGUCGAUACUCUUAACGUUUUCUUUUCCAGAAACGACGUGUCUCUCUACGUUGUGUUCUCGUUUCCAUACUCAGGGUACUCUUCGUUCGACGACUACACGAACGAUCUUCUCUUCGUCUCUUCCGUUUCUUUCUUCUUCUCUUCCGUUUCUUCUUUCGUCUUCGCGAUCGUUUCUUUCUUCUUCUCUUCCGUUUCUUCUCUCGUCUUCGUGAUCGUUUCUCUCUUCUUCUCUUCCGUUUCUUUCGUGUCUUUUACCGUCGUCUCUAUCUUCUUUUCUUCUUUCAACGUUAACGGUCCUCUCUUCGAGUAGAUGUUCGUUUCGAAUCCCUUCGUCUCCUCUUCUUCCGACGACGUGUUCGUUUCUCCCCACGAAGAUGAUAACAGGUUGUCUCGUUUUUUUGUGUUCCAGUUGUACAAACUACUUAAGUCUACUUACAAGUAGGAGAUCAGAAAUCAAGUAAUUCACAUCACUAGAAUUUUUGAUACUAGAAAUAAAACAACGAGUAGUUUGAUGACCACUAGAAUUAAAACAACGAGUCUACCUCGUAAAUCAACUUGAAGUAAGAUGAGAAUGGUUCACCUCAUACCUACAGUUGAAACAUUACGAAGACAUAACUUAGAACUAUACAUUACUUCGUUCAACUUAGACUGAUACGAUCACUACGAGCUUCCCUCAGCUCUGUUUUC
rnacentral:rRNA from 1 species